ACGUGUUUGGGAGGUAAGAUGUGUUGCUAUUGCAGAACAGCAGGGGAGUUUGACCUAAGAGACCUGAGAUCUUCGGCAUUACUCUUCAUCACUCUGUUGUGACAUUAUGCUGGACAACCUUGAAAACUGGAUCUCAGCUACAAAGAGAGAACAACAGAGGUGCAGUUCAAAGCAGCAAAUGCUGAAGACAGCUCAGCAGUACGGCACAGAAGAAAGAGGAAGAUUCAAGAAAGCAAGGGAAGAUGCGUGGAAGGAGC
rnacentral:lncRNA from 1 species